CUUUUAGGUUGACAGAAGAUUUCAGUGGAUUGUCGUUGGACGAGAACACGGUGGCACACGCUAUCAAGCUGUUGAUAGAAACGAAACAUGUUCUAAUAUCAAAUUUAUCAGCUAUAGGAAAUGGAACGCCUGAAGAAGCAGAACGGUUCUGGUUUUCGUUUGUUUUGUUCUCGGUGAAAACAUUGAGUGAGAAGAGUUCUGAUAAUUCAAAAAUUGAGAGCUGCUAAGCUGAACAUUGUGGAUUUCUUUAAGGAGCUUCCACAGUUUAUUGUUAAGGCUGGCCCAAUUUUAAGUAAUCUGUAUGAUGUAGAUUGGGAGAGCAAACUUGAGGCAAAAGAGUUAGAGGGCACUUUUCUGUACUUGAGCCUUUUAAGCAAAUCCUGCUACUGCUGCUGAUUCUCAAGCAAACAAGGAAGCAGCUAAUGAAUGUUCUGUUUUCGUUAAAAAUGUGAGGAAAGUUCAAUUUGUUUUGACCUCUUAGUUGGGAAGAGAUGCUGCCAUUGUGUAUGUAUUCAGGACUGCUAGUUCAGGAAUGAUAUAAAUUAGCUUUCAAGGCAUACGAGUAGAUGCAAUUGCAUGGGUGUCGUCACUGUGGUGUUAUCAGAUGCAUCUUUUGAUUGCAGUAUUUAAAAGCUUUGUUAGAUCAAGACGUUUUGACAUGGAAAAGUAAACAAAAUAUAAAUGAGAUUAACUAGACC
rnacentral:lncRNA from 1 species